GACGAACGCUGGCGGCGUGCCUAAUACAUGCAAGUCGAGCGAGCGGAACUAACAGAUUUACCUCGGUAAUGACGUUAGGAAAGCGAGCGGCGGAUGGGUGAGUAACACGUGGGGAACCUGCCCCAUAGUCUGGGAUACCACUUGGAAACAGGUGCUAAUACCGGAUAAGAAAGCAGAUCGCAUGAUCAGCUUUUAAAAGGCGGCGUAAGCUGUCGCUAUGGGAUGGCCCCGCGGUGCAUUAGCUAGUUGGUAAGGUAAAGGCUUACCAAGGCGAUGAUGCAUAGCCGAGUCGAGAGACUGAUCGGCCACAUUGGGACUGAGACACGGCCCAAACUCCUACGGGAGGCAGCAGUAGGGAAUCUUCCACAAUGGACGCAAGUCUGAUGGAGCAACGCCGCGUGAGUGAAGAAGGUUUUCGGAUCGUAAAGCUCUGUUGUUGGUGAAGAAGGAUAGAGGUAGUAACUGGCCUUUAUUUGACGGUAAUCAACCAGAAAGUCACGGCUAACUACGUG
rnacentral:rRNA from 1 species